rnacentral:rRNA from 1 species
AUGUAUAGCCAUACCACCCUGAAUAUGCUUGAUCUUGUUUGAUCUCAGAAGCUAAGCAGAGUUGGGCCUGGUUAGCACUUGAAUGAGAGAAACACUCUGAAAUUUUAUGCUCCUUUUCUUU